UUUUUUUAUAAAUAAUUUAUUCUAAACAAAACCUUUAAGAUUCCUUCAAUUUUGAUACUCAUGUCAAAAAAAAAAAAAUUAUCCCUUCCAUCUGCUAGUCUCCACCAAAGAGUUCAAUAUAACUAGCAAAGAAGCUGAUACGAGCUGGUCAUUGCAUUCAAGGGUUCCAAAUGCAGAAUUCAGGAGAAAAAAAUGAACUUCUAGGGAAAGGCAACAAAACAAGUUUUCAGAAUUGAGAUUGGAAAGGGAAUCUUCAAUUCAAUGGUUGCCAUUAUUUCAAUUUAGUAAUACAUGCCCAGUGGAAAUACCACCAAAAUCUAAACUAAAAGAGAACCUUCCAUCACAGUAACAGCUUUCCCUCGCAGCAGCACUCUCUGAUUCUGCUCAUCCAGAUGAAUGUUUAAUAUUCCACCUCUAGGUGAUGCCUGAUAGGCCAUAAAAUCGCAGUUGCCCAGCUUCUUGCUCCAAUAGGGGGCUAAAGCACAAUGCGCACUCCCAGUAACAGGAUCCUCAUCGAUCCCAAAUUUGGGACAGAAGUAUCGACUAUAAAAGUCAAAUGCAGAAUCUGAUGGAGCAACCCCAGAAACAAGUAUCCCCCCCUUUCCAGGACAUUUUAGCAUCUCAUCAAACUGUGGCUGUAAUUCUGUAACAGCUUUUGCAGACGGCAGCACAACCUACGAGAAUGUGGAGCUUCAUUAAGUUACAUAUACAAAAGAACUCCUCAUACAUGCCACAAAUACUCUCUACAAGCAAAGGCUACCAUAUCCAGAAUUCUAUCCCAGAUCAUGAAACAUAAUAACAUGAUGGUUAACCCCGUUCAUGAUAAUAUGAAAUGAGAUGCAAGAUAUCUAAGAGGAAAUGGACGAGAGGGAUUACAAAGAGGUCAUCUGCAUAACUCUUUAUAUCAAUUAUUGAAGCACCAUUCAGGGCUUUAGAAAUUGGUGCAAGAUCAAUAGAGUUGAAUUCUGUAAUUGGGAGAGCAGGGAAAUUCAACUCAACGAGAAAGCAAUCUUUUGCUUCGCCAUCAGGAACCUUCUUAGCAGUUAGGAUGCCAGAUAGUGUGACAAACUCAAUUAUGUUAGAAUUUACCAAACCAUUAGAAAAGAGGGCGUGUGAAGCCGCUAGCGUUGCAUGACCACAAAGCUCAACCUCAGCAACAGGAGUAAACCACCUGAGACGGAACUUGGGAUUUGAAUUAACAGUACCGGAGUCAGCGAUGGGAGUCAAAUAGCAGGUCUCGGAUAAUUUGAACUCAGUUGCCACACCUUGCAACCAAUUUUCAUCUUUCUCUUCCUCAAGUAAGCACACCGCUGCGGGGUUCCCCUUGAAGGCGGAGUCUGUGAACGCAUCCACCACAAAGUAUUUAACGAGUUUUCUCCCCAUCCUCCACGCUCCCAGAAGGAAAGAUAGAAAUAAGUUAUGAAUCAGAAGGAAAGUUGCUUCGCAGGAGGAGGUUUUGUAAUAGAAGAACAUGACAAAAC
rnacentral:misc_RNA from 1 species